UGUUUGUGUAAUGGCUGACACAGUGGUAGAGUGAUACAGCAGGUAGCGUUGCCACCUCAUAGCUUCAGGGUCCCAGGUUUGAUCCUGAGCUCUGUUCUUCAGUUUCCACCCACUCUACUAAAUCGUCCAGGAAUUGACUAUUCUAAACCGCCCCUAGGUGUGAAUGAAUGUGUGAAUUCUCUUGGCUUGCACCCAAUGUUCCUGGGUCUGGCUCCGGUUCCACCACAACGCUGAACAGGAUGCUGAAAAAGAAUGAAAAAGUAAAUUAAUUAAUGUGUUCGUUUAUUUAGUUUAGUUUUGUUUGCUGGUGGUUAAUGUUCAUUUAAUAUGGUUUUGUUUGCUGGUGUUUCUUCUGGUCACUAAUACAGAACCUUCAUUGCUACCACUGCUGUUGGGAUCAUACCAGAUCAUACCAUCCACAUAUUAACCCAAACACAGUGUUUUAUAGUUAAGUUUUGGAAACUUGAGCAAGAGCUCCAGCAUCUGCACUUUAUACGAUGGCAGCCAUGUUAGCGGUCUUCCAUACAGAGAGCUUUUGAAGUUCAUGGGCUCUGUAAUCACUCGCUUGCUUCUAUAGUUAGCGCACCAGGACACAUGUGAAUUUAACGGCAACUGUCAAAAUGUUCCAACUUUAAAAUGUUCCUACAAUACUCUUAACUUUUGUUUUUUAUUUUUUACAUGUAACAUUCAUGCGGCCUGUUAUCUGGGACGGAGGAUUUUCAGAAUUAUUUGAUAAUUACAAUAAUUCUGAGAUGAUGGUGUUAUUUUCUCGCAGUUAUGGCUUCUGCUAAGCCACAGUGUUCAUCUUUCUGCUGGCAGAUGCAUUUUAAAUACCAUUUUAAAUUACAGGUCAUCUAGCAUCAGGAUGAGAAAAAGACAUGCACAUUAGGAGAACGGAAAUGGUAACACACUGAGGGAAUUUAAAAACAAAUACCAUAUACUGUAUAAAAAAAGUGUGAGAUGUUUGACUUUCUGCAUUUUUGAUGACAAAAAAAAAAACAUCUCGGAAACUAUAGCAAUGCAUGUGAAUGUGUUUGAAGGUUAAUUCCACUGAAAGACCGUUUUUGUCAUAUUUAUAGUGAUUCUCACUGAUGAUAUAAGAACAAAAUUAGAAAGAACAGAAACAUUUAGUCAAAUCAGCAUUUAGCAUAUAAAGCGGUAAUUAAAAAGAAUUAAUUUAAAAAAAACAUUUAAAACAUUUUGAAAAAAAUAUAAAAGGAUAUUGUGACACCUGAAAAAGUGUAUUGUGACAAUUUAUUCACAUAUUUAUGUUAUAUCGGAAAAUCACUCAAGAUAAGACAAGCCUAGUUCUCAUCAGACAUUUGAGAUAUUGUUCACAUCACCAUAGCAACUGUAGCAAUACAGUGGAACUCGAAAACUUGCAUUUUACAAACAUAAAAGCUUUUUUGAAGCUUUUUUCCCCAUUUCACUGUAUUCAUGAUUUAGUUAUGGCAUAAGACUAUCUAUCCACCACUAUCUGUGUGGUUAUGUUUUUAAACAUCAAAAAGAUAGAUUAAAUGAGUUAAACAUGUCUUUUAGCAGUAGGAAAGUUAAAGAGCUGUCAAAUGAAUAAAAAAACAACAACGUACAAUUCGGCAGAAGAGCAGGUCUAUAUUAAAACAGAGGAAAAUAGUAAUAGCUUUUUUCUUUUCUGGAAGUUAUUAGUAGUUUUACCAUGCCAAGUUCAGCUUAUAGUUUCUGCUCAUAAAGGACCAGAGAGAGACAGCCAAAUGACUGUGGCUGAUGUUGGAGCCAACCACCGCCGAAAUGGCCCCCAGUGGCUCAUACACCGCCGCGUCACGUUACACACAUACUGAUCGUCUCUUAAAACACUACACCAUGGCACAAGAAAUAAAUCUGAAUUAAAUGCCAAAUGAAAUAUGUGUAAAGCUUCAUAUGGCACAUAAGAAUAGAUUAGACUGAGACAUGCAUUCAUUGUGAAUGGACCAUGUUUGUUUUAUAAGCUGAAAGGCAUAAAUUUGGAGGCUGAAGGAGGUGUGCCUUAGUUCCAGUGAAGGAGGUGUGGCCUCUGUGCCUUAGUCCCAGUGAAGGAGGUGUGGCCUCUGUGCCUUAGUUCCAGUGAAGGAGGUGUGGCCUCUGUGCCUUAGUCCCAGUGAAGGAGGUGUGGCCUCUGUGCCUUAGUUCCAGUGAAGGAGGUGUGGCCUCUGUGCCUUAGUCCCAGUGAAGGAGGUGUGGCCUCUGUGGUUGUCAGUCCAAAUGAAGGAGGUGUGGCCUCUGACUCCUAAAAGUUCAUAUCUUUGUCCACUGAUAUAUUUGCCCAAUCCCAAUCCAGAUUGUCUUGUAUUGAAACUGUUCUUAAUUGUAUAAAUAUAGAUAAUAUAAUAUAAAAAAAAUAUAUAUAAUCGUUUUUUUCAAUCAGAAUAGGAAAUUCGUAUCCACUGUUGCCAAAACAUUAAAAAGGAAAUUUCACAUAAAAAACAAACCCAAAACUUUUUUGAUUUACAAGAAAUAUAUGUUUGCUAGUUUUGUGUUACCAACAGCCACUCUGUCUUUUUGAGCUGAUUUCCUACUCAUGUACUGUGCCUCCACUGGAAUAACCCAACAAUGUGAACAUGAUUUUGGCCUGUACUCUUCCACAGGGCUAGAUGAUUGUGUCAAGAUCAGAUGUGCUUUAGAAUAAGGUCUCAAUUACCCCAGCUCUACUCCAUACACACACGCACACACACACGCACGCGCACACACACACACACACACACGCACACACACACACACAGAGGCACAUAUGUGCCAGUAACUCAUACAUGGCCAUUUUACUAGUUAAAUUAAAGUCAGAUCACUAUCAGGGACCUUUUUUUGUUGAGUGCAGAUCCAUUUCCUCGGCCAAUCUGGUAAAGCUGCCCUGCUGGGAGGCCUUCAGAAGCCAUUAUUUAUUUUCUUAGCUAGUUACUAAUUGUCUGAGCCUUUGGAGUCCAUGUGCAUGGAGGAUGCAUGGCAGUCAUAUGUGACCGUGGCCACGGAUUGGCACUCAGUAUGACUACCAUUUGGUACCAUUUACCAUACGGCCCCAGAGCGGGAGGUGCACGUAAGGUACAUGGGUCGAACAAAGGGUCCAGACAUGAGCUGUACCCCAGUUCCAGCUAUGAGGAUGACAAGGACAAAUGCACUGAUCGAAGUGUUGCAAUUUCCUCCCAUAAUUAUUGUGUCUUGUGUGUCCACUCAACCAGGACAAGCUUCUUAAGGCUGUUCAGGAACAUUAUAGGAACAUGUCACAACUGUAAUCUACUAAAUCUACUUGUAUGUGUCAAGCCCCACACAUACAUUUGAUUCAAAAUAGUUGUUCCUAGUGUUUUUAGUGGCAUAGUUGUAGGGUUCAUAUUUUAUUUAAUUAAAAAGAAUACCUUUCCUGUUCAGACAGUAUCCACUUCUCUAUCUCUAUCUGAAUAUUAUAUACAGAGAUACAGAUAUUUGGAGCACUAUCAGAUACAGAUAGUGUCAAUGUGUUACACCUCUAUUUUGUUUGUUCAUUGUUUAAUGGCCUGGAUGUUGGAAGCUGAGGUGAAACAGGUGAUGCUGUUAACAGCAAAAAAGACAACAAAAAUUUGACAAAUUCAGUUGUGAUUACUAGUGUAUUGACUUGUCUGGGGCCCAAAAAUUCCUACUGGCACCAAUGGUUCUACCCAAAUGUACCCAAAAGACACAGGAUGUCGAGGGAUUCGCAGUUUGCUAAUGCUAACAAUCAUUUAUUUUGUUUAUUAAAGAAUGACAUUUAAAAAAAAAAAAAAUCAGGUUAUAGUUACAUUUAAUGUGUGGAAUGUCUGCAGGAGAUGUUCCUGUUAUAGUCACAAUACAGUUGUUCUCUCACCAGCCUCUAUUUGAAGUUUAC
ensembl:lncRNA